GACAGAGGCCUCAAGCGUUAGGCGGAAUCACUGGGCUUAAAGCGUGUGUAGGCGGAUCGUUAAGUGCCUUGUGAAAUCCCACGGCUUAACUGUGGAACGGCUGGGCAUACUGGCGGUCUUGAGCCAUCUAGGGGCGACUGGAACAAACGGUGGAGCGGUGAAAUGCGUAGAUAUCGUUUGGAACGCCAAUGGUGAAAACAGGUCGCUGGGGAUGAGCUGACGUUGAGACACGAAAGCCAGGGGAGCAAACGGG
rnacentral:rRNA from 1 species